GAUCAUGGCUCAGGAUGAACGCUGGCGGCGUGCCUAACACAUGCAAGUCGAGCGAAGCGGUUUUAAGGAAGUUUUCGGAUGGAAUUAAAACUGACUGAGCGGCGGACGGGUGAGUAACGCGUGGGUAACCUGCCUCAUACAGGGGGAUAACAGUUAGAAAUGACUGCUAAUACCGCAUAAGCGCACAGCUUCGCAUGAAGCGGUGUGAAAAACUCCGGUGGUAUGAGAUGGAUCCGCG
rnacentral:rRNA from 1 species